GCCCUCAUAUCAGAUGGUGUCAAGUAUUGUGUUGAGUGUUGGUGUUAGGUGUUUAGAGAUGCAAGUAGUCUUGGAUCACCAUGCUUAGGAACACUUUCCAGAUCUCCUAGAUCAUGAUAAAGGACAAUGUAAAUAAGGUCGGUUCCCCUCAUAUCGGAUGGUAUCCAGUAUGUAUUGUUGGUGUUAGGUGUUUAGAGACACAAGUGGUCUUGGAUCACCAUGCUUUAGAACACAUCCCAGCUCUCCUGGAUCAUAAUAAGGACAAGGUCAAUGAGGAAGGUUCCCUCGUAUAGGAUGGUGUCCAGUAUGGUGUUGGUGUUAGGUGUUAAGAUACGCAAGUCGUCUUGGAUCACCAUGCUUAAGAACACUUCCCAGGUCUCUAGAAAAGCAAAAUUCUACAUACAGCAACAUAAUGAGAUAUGCUUUCACAGCAUUGUGGCUUUUUUGACCAAAAAAUAAAGAAAAAGUAAUAAUAGCCCUUCAAAUGAAAGAGAUAGCCCCCAAAACUCAUCAGUUGCUCCAUGUGGCGAAAAAUACCCCCUGAAAAUAAAAAUUAUUUGCUU